rnacentral:rRNA from 1 species
AUUGAACGCUGGCGGCAGGCCUAACACAUGCAAGUCGAACGAGUGGCGGACGGGUGAGUAAUGUCUGGGAAACUGCCUGAUGGAGGGGGAUAACUACUGGAAACGGUAGCUAAUACCGCAUACCAUCAGAUGUGCCCAGAUGGGAUUAGCUAGUUGGUGGGGUAACGGCUCACCAAGGCGACGAUCCCUAGCUGGUCUGAGAGGAUGACCCGCCACACGGGGACUGAAAGACGGUCCGGACUCCUACGUGAGGCAGCGGUGGGGAAUAUUGCACGAUGGGCGCAAGCCUGAUGCAGCCGUGCCGCGUGUAGGAAGAAGGCCUUCGGGUUGUAAAGUACUUUCAGCAGGGAGGCGUUACCCGCAGAAGAAGCACCGGCUACCUCGGGGCCAGCAGCCGCGGUAAUUC